GAUGAACGCUGGCGGCGUGCCUAAUACAUGCAAGUCGAGCGAACGGACGAGAAGCUUGCUUCUCUGAUGUUAGCGGCGGACGGGUGAGUAACACGUGGAUAACCUACCUAUAAGACUGGGAUAACUUCGGGAAACCGGAGCUAAUACCGGAUAAUAUUUUGAACCGCAUGGUUCAAAAGUGAAAAACGGUCUUGCUGUCACUUAUAGAUGGAUCCGCGCUGCAUUAGCUAGUUGGUAAGGUAGCGGCUUACCAAGGCAACGAUGCAUAGCCGACCUGAGAGGGUGAUCGGCCACACUGGAACUGAGACACGGUCCAGACUCCUACGGGAGGCAGCAGUAGGGAAUCUUCCGCAAUGGGCGAAAGCCUGACGGAGCAACGCCGCGUGAGUGAUGAAGGUCUUCGGAUCGUAAAACUCUGUUAUUAGGGAAGAACAUAUGUGUAAGUAACUGUGCACAUCUUGACGGUAACUAAUCAGAAAGCCACGGCUAACUACGUG
rnacentral:rRNA from 1 species